rnacentral:rRNA from 1 species
UACGAAGGGGGCUAGCGUUGCUCGGAAUUACUGGGCGUAAAGGGCGCGUAGGCGGAUACUUAAGUCGGGGGUGAAAGCCCAGGGCUCAACCCUGGAAUAGCCUUCGAUACUGGGUAUCUUGAGUUCGGGAGAGGUGAGUGGAACUCCGAGUGUAGAGGUGAAAUUCGUAGAUAUUCGGAAGAAACACCAGUGGCGAAGGCGACUCACUGGCCCGAUACUGACGCUGAGGCGCGAAAGCGUGGGGAGCAAACAGG